CAGACAGUCAUGACACUGUUGAAGAGGCUGAAAGCACAGCUCUGGCAGGAGCGCAGCGUGAUGAACAAAUCAUCAAAAGAUCGACAAUGCAAGGUGAAAGCAGAGUGUUCAGAAUGGCAGGUCAGUGUGUUCCCUGGCCUGAUCUCUCCAUCACUCAACCUGUCAUCAGCCAUGCCUGCCUGACCUUGUUAGGCAGAACUUCUCUCCCCCUCACCCCUCCUCACCUCUCCUCACCCCCAGCCUCAUCCCAGAGACUUUGUAGCCCCAAUAUGUCAGGGGGAUGAUGAGUGUGUGACCCUCUUGAAGUGACUUUGGGAGAGAGCGCGCCAGCUGAGUUUUGUUGUCUGUGACUCUGGUAGCAUGUGUGACAAUAUUUAUAUUGGUCAAGUUCAUGGAAGCCUGCUGUGAUCAGGUUUCCCCCAUAAAAGCUAUUAAUGGUCCCCAUGGAAACCCUCUUUUCAACACAAGUAGGGGAUCAAACAAAGGGUCAGGUGUUUCGGUCGUGAUAUUCACUCAUCUUUGUUGCAAUGCCUUUUGAUGUAGCAAUAUAAUUGUCUACUCUAGUUUCUUAAUCCUGCACGGUCCUUCGGGUCCCACAGCACAUUUCUGCUUCAGCCCAUCACCUGAUUCAACUACCCAACCUAACGUAAGCCCUUGAUUAGCAUGAUAAGGUGUGUGUUAGUGCUGGGCACGAUCAAAAUAUGCACCCAUGUGGGUUCCCAGGACCAGGAUUAAGAACCCCAUGAAUACAGAAAUAUGUGUGACCUUUAGCUACAAGCAACUCUGGACAGUGAUACAGGCCGUGCAAGCUUUUACUCCAGCCCCACACUAGCAUGCCUCAUUCAAUCUAGACCAUGAUAAGUUGGUGUACAGUUAGAGCUGGGCUGAAACAAAACCUGCACACACUGCUGCUCUUUCAAAAAAUUGGCCACUUCUGAGCUGAGACCACACUCACCAACUACACUGUUGUUGUCUGGUGAAUAUAGCAUAUCUAAUAAGUUGAAGUAUCAUACACACUCAUUCAUAGAAUCUACCCUGUAAAGAACUUUAUUAUACACAGAUUUAAAAUAGAUGUUGAUAACAAAUGUGUACUUUGUGGUUGUGACCCAGUGACUCAACCAUUUAUUUUAGAACUGUUCUUAUGUCAGAAGUUUUUUGAGUGAGUUAGAAGAUUUUAUUUGAAAAUAAACAACUAUUAAUGUUAA